rnacentral:lncRNA from 1 species
CAAUCUGGUAAUUGCUAUGAUAACAAAUUGCUGUUAAUUGAAAUCCGUUAAGUAUUAUGAUAUAUUGCAUUAUGAUACAAUUAACAGGUUUCUUUUCAAUUGUUAUGCAAAUAACUAAUCUUAAAAAAUACAGUUAUUCUUCAAUAAUACGAAAAUUAUUUUUAAGUGGGGCGAGUUUUUAUAUUUUAAUUUUAUAUCUAAAUAUUACCGUUUUCCAUUAAGUGGGGCGAGUUGGCAGGAGUAAUAUUAAACAUGAUUUAACCAAUUUCACAUGUGGGGCGAUUUUUUAAAAAGUGGGGCGAGUUGGUGAUCCAGGUUGGGGCGUUUUUUUUUUUAAAGUGGGGCGAGUUGGUGAAAAAGUGGGGCGACUAGGUGUGGGGCGACUUGCCAGUGGGGCGACUUGUCCUGCUUCCCCGAUACAUAUGUA